rnacentral:rRNA from 1 species
UUCGCAAUGCCCGAAAGGGUGACGAAGCGACGCCGCGUGUGGGAAGAAGGCCUUCGGGUUGUAAACCACUGUCGGGAGUUAAGAAAGGCGGGAGAGUGAAUAGCUUUCCUGUUUUGACGAAAGCUCCGGAGGAAGCCACGGCUAACUCUGUGCCAGCAGCCGCGGUAAUACAGAGGUGGCAAGCGUUGUUCGGAAUUAUUGGGCGUAAAGGGCACGUAGGCGGCCCUGCAAGUCAGUUGUGAAAUCCUUCCGCUUAACGGAAGAACGGCAGGUGAUACUACAGGGCUAGAGUGCGGUAGGGGAGAGCGGAACUUCUGGUGGAGCGGUGAAAUGCGUAGAUAUCAGAAGGAACACCGGCGGCGAAAGCGGCUCUCUGGUCCGUAACUGACGCUGAGGUGCGAAAGCUAGGGGAGCAAACGGGAUUAGAUACCCCGGUAGUCCUAGCCGUAAACGAUGGGCACUAAGUAGAGGGGUUUU